rfam:Colletotrichum gloeosporioides Nara gc5 unplaced genomic scaffold scaffold1073, whole genome shotgun sequence.
ACAUGCGGCCAUACCCAUUGGAAAGCUCGGGAUCCCGUCCGCUCUCCCAACGAUAAACCACUGAGGGCCGGAGUAGUGGUCGGGUCGGUGACGACCGGCGAAUGCCCGGUGCUGCAUGUU